rnacentral:lncRNA from 1 species
UUUCAUUUCAUUUCACUUCAUUUCUUUUCUUUCUUCCAAUAUAUCUUCUGCCAAACUCUGAGACAGGCUUUGGUGAUACAUCAAUGAUCAGAGAAAAAAUCCUGCUCUCAAGUUGCUCACUGUCUAGAUGGGGAGGCAGACAGAUAAACAGAGUGCUACAAAAUGAUGUGCACAAAGAAGAGGUCACAGGAGCACACAGCAAGAAGGCAGCCAUCUGCAACCCUGUGGAGGAGACCUCCCCAGACAUUAACCAUGCUGGCACCUUGAUCUUGGACUUCUAGUCUCUGGGACUGUGAGAAAAUACAUUUCGGUUGUCUCAGCCACUCAGUCUGAAGAAUUUUGUUAUGUCAGCUCGAGCAGAUUGAUGCGGCUAUUGAGAUACAGCGGUUUCUAUUCUGUUUAUGUUUCCUUGUUUUGUUUCUGUUGUUGUUGUUGUUGUUUUGUCCUGGGCAUGUAGACCAAAGCCAAUAGGCAAGGUCACUUCAUUACUAGGAACCAAGUCUAAUCAUUGCACUAGAAAAUACUUAACUUUAUGCAUCCAGCUUUUUAGAAAAUUGUAUUUCAACUCAUUACAGGAUUUUCAUAGUGUAUCACAAGAUUUAUGUUGAGAGGAAAAGAGCCCUAAAGUUUCAAGAUAAUUGAAUUCUGGAAAAUGAGAAAAGUAGUCAAUUUUUAUAAAUUAGUAGGUAGCAUCUAUUUUUUCUUUUUUUGGUACUAAAAUUAUUGCAUUUUUAUUUUUACCUUAUUUUGUACCAAGAUGGGUCUAAAUGUCAUGGUGACUCAUUUCAAAACUUGCAUUUUCAUUUGUGAUUAAUCCCACCUACACUGAAAAGUUUUUGCUUGAUUUUUCUACUGAGGUGUGGGUUCCAAGCCUCGGUAUCCUAUGGAUGUACAAUUGUCCAAUGUAAGUUGUCAACUGUUAUAUUUGGGAGUGAAAGUAGAAACUACAGGGAUCAAAAAUGAGUUGGCAAGUUUUCUUUUCCUGAAGGAUGAAUCACUGGAGAAGUGCCAGUGAAUAGAAAAAAAAAAUUUCACCAAAAGAAAUAAUAACCAACAAGCCAUGUUCUACUGUCUUAAAACAAAGAAAAGCCAUUUAUCUCAGGGCACAUAUUGAUGCUGAAAAUGAUUCAACUUCACCACAUCAUAAGCGGAACCGUCAGAAGCAUAUUCCUGGAAACCAAAGCCUCUUGGGAGAAAGUUCAAGAUGAAUUAUUAUUAAAACAAAGUUUUCUAGAGAAGAGGGAAGAGGUCACAAUGGCCGUGGACUAUGUGGAAUAGGAGAAGCUGAAAAGAGCCAUGCAGUUCAAUUAUCCUGAUUCUUCAGUUUCCAUCUGUAUGAAACAGGCCACGCAGCAGAGACAUAGACACAUCAGAAUUCCCAUCUGCACUGCAAUAAACACUACUUAGGAGAAUCAGUCUCAGCUGGACCAAACCUCUCAGUCCCACUCGAUGUCAUCUGUGCCAAGCCAAGACUCACCGGGACAUCAGUCCAGCCUCCUCCAAGACCCACUAUGGCAGCAGUUCUUCAUCUGUGGCUCUACAGGCAAGGAUCACAUGUUGUGACUCUGCCAGGUAGAGGUUGUGCUUCUGUGGAUCUGUCAGGUGGCCUUGCCCCCAAGGCUUUGCUGGGUGUUGGUCCUACUCUUUGAAACUGAGGUGGAGACACCCCUGCACCCCCCACCCCCAGGCACUCUGGAUGUGCAGUGGAAGUGGCAGUCCUAAGAUAUCGGCAUUAUGUGCAGGGUCCUUCUUCCCUUAUCUUGAAGAAAGUUGUAUGUUUGUAGGUGAAUAGCCCUUAUGAUCCAUUCCCGUCGGGUCUUCCAACAGUCUUUCUCCAUUUUGUC